UACGUAGGGUGCGAGCGUUGUCCGGAAUUAUUGGGCGUAAAGAGCUCGUAGGCGGUCUGUCGCGUCGGAUGUGAAACCUCGGGGCUCAACCCCGAGCCUGCAUUCGAUACGGGCAGACUAGAGUUCGGUAGGGGAGACUGGAAUUCCUGGUGUAGCGGUGAAAUGCGCAGAUAUCAGGAGGAACACCGGUGGCGAAGGCGGGUCUCUGGGCCGAUACUGACGCUGAGGAGCGAAAGCGUGGGGAGCGAACAGG
rnacentral:rRNA from 1 species